rnacentral:tRNA from 1 species
GGGCCCUUAGUUCAGUGGAUAGAACAACUGACUUCUAAUCAGUAGGUCGCAGGUUCGAAUCCUGCAGGGCCCG